GGUUGGCUCAGAAGCAGCCAUCCUUUAAAGAGUGCGUAACAGCUCACUAGUCGAGUGACCCUGCGCCGAAAAUGUACCGGGGCUAAGCCUGAUACCGAAACUGCGGAUUGUAGGAAACUAUAGUGGUAGGGGAGCGUUGUAUACGAGCAGAAGCCGUACCGUGAGGAGCGGUGGAUUGUAUAGAAGUGAGAAUGCCGGUGUGAGUAGCGAGAUGUAGGUGAGAAUCCUACACACCGAAAGCCCAAGGAUUCCAGGGGAAGGUUCGUCCGCCCUGGGUAAGUCGGGACCUAACGCGAGGCCGAAAGGCGUAGUGGAUGGAAAGCAGGCGAAAGAUUCCUGCACCCGUAUAUGGAGCGAAGGAGUGACGGAGACGGAUAGUGUGACCCUCUUAAUGGAUUGAGGGCGAAGCGAAGCGGCUGGUUACCAGGCAAAUCCGGUAACCAAAAGGCUAGAGCGUGACAGGUAAGCGAAAUCUUAGGAAAGUAGCGAAGCACAUGAUGACGGCUUCCAGGAAAAGCUUCUGGCAAUGCAUAUGCGGCCCGUACCAAAACCGACACAGGUGGGCAGGGAGAGAAUCCCGAGGUGAGCGAGAGAACUGUUGCCAAGGAACUCGGCAAAAUGACUCCGUAAGUUAGCGAGAAGGAGUGCUUAAGCAAUUAAGCCGCAGUGAAGAGGCCCAAGCGACUGUUUAACUAAAACACAGCUCUCUGCGAAGUCGCAAGACGAAGUAUAGGGGGUGACACCUGCCCGGUGCUGGAAGGUUAAGAGGAUCUGUUAAGAGCGAUCUGAAGCAGUGAUCCGAAGCCCCAGUGAACGGCGGCCGUAACUAUAACGGUCCUAAGGUAGCGAAAUUCCUUGUCAGGUAAGUUCUGACCCGCACGAAAGGUGUAACGAUUUGGGCGCUGUCUCGGCAGCAGACUCGGUGAAAUCUUAGUACCUGUGAAAAUGCAGGUUACCCGCAACUAGACGGAAAGACCCCAUGGAGCUUUACUGCAGCCUGAUAUUGAAUUCUGGUCAUACAUGUACAGGAUAGGUGGGAGACAAAGAGACGUGCACGCCAGUGUACGAGGAGUCGACGUUGGGAUACCACUCUUGUGUGACCGGGGUUCUAACCUGGUAUCGAGAACAGGUACGGGGAGAGUGUCAGGUGGGCAGUUUGACUGGGGCGGUCGCCUCCCAAAGAGUAACGGAGGCGCCCAAAGGUACGCUCAGAUUGGAUGGAAACCAAUCGUCGAGUGCAAUUGCAGAAGCGUGCUUGACUGUGAGACAAACAAGUCGAACAGGGACGAAAGUCGGGAAUAGUGAUCCGGCGGUGCCGAAUGGAAGGGCCGUCGCUCAACGGAUAAAAGCUACCCUGGGGAUAACAGGCUGAUCUCGCCCAAGAGUUCACAUCGACGGCGAGGUUUGGCACCUCGAUGUCGGCUCAUCGCAUCCUGGAGCUGGAUUCGGUUCCAAGGGUUGGGCUGUUCGCCCAUUAAAGCGGUACGCGAGCUGGGUUCAGAACGUCGUGAGACAGUUCGGUCCCUAUCUGUUGUGGGCGAAGGAGAUCUGCGGAGAGCUGUCCUCAGUACGAGAGGACCGGGAUGGACCUACCGCUGGUGCACCGGUUGUUCCGCCAGGGGCAUAGCCGGGUAGCUAAGUAGGGAAAGGAUAAGCGCUGAAAGCAUCUAAGCACGAAGCCUACUCCAAGAUGAGAUCUCCCAUUCGCAAGAAGUAAGACCCCUUAAAGACGAUAAGGUAGAUAGGCCAGGGAUGGAAGUGCAGUGAUGUACGGAGUUGACUGGUACUAAUCGGUCGAGGACUUAAUC
rnacentral:rRNA from 1 species